rnacentral:tRNA from 1 species
GCCAAAGUGGCUCAGUGGUAGAGCAGCUCCCUCGUAAUGAGCAGGUCGUGGGUCCGAUUCCCACCUUUGGCU